GUUCCAAACAGACUCUAGUCCAGAAACAACUCCUAGGCCCAGUUCCAAACAGACUCUAGUCCAGAAACAACUCCUAGGCCCAGUGCCAAACAGACUCUAGUCCAGAAACAACUCCUAGGCCCAGUGCCAAACAGACUCUAGAAACUACUCCUAGGCCCAGUGCCAAACAGACUCUAGUCCAGAAACAACUCCUAGGCCCAGUGCCAAACAGACUCUAGUCCAGAAACAACUCCUAGGCCCAGUGCCAAACAGACUCUAGUCCAGAAACAACUCCUAGGCCCAGUGCCAAACAGACUCUAGUCCACAAACAACUCCUAGGCCCAGAGCCAAACAGACUCUAGUCCAGAAACAACUCCUAGGCCCAGUGCCAAACAGACUCUAGUCCACAAACAACUCCUAGGCCCAGUGCCAAACAGACUCUAGUCCACAAACAACUCCUAGGCCCAGUGCCAGAAACACAGAACCAACUGACCUAAAUUAAAUAAAGGCUAAAUACAUUUUAAAAAGCACUGCAAUGGAUGAGAAAGGGUUGAAUCAUUACAUUAGAGAUAGGAGGUAGAGUAGAGGUAGAGUGGAGGUAGAGUAGAGGUAGAGUGGAGGUAGAGUAGAGGUAGAUAGGAGGUAGAUAGGAGGUAGAGUAGAGGUAGAGUGGAGGUAGAGUGGAGGUAGAUAGGAGGUAGAGUAGAGGUAGAGUGGAGGUAGAGUAGAGGUAGAGUAGAGGUAGAGUGGAGGUAGAGUAGAGGUAGAGUGGAGGUAGAUAGGAGGUAGAGUGGAGGUAGAGUGGAGGUAGAGUGGAGGUAGAGUGGAGGUAGAGUGGAGGUAGAGUGGAGGUAGAGUGGAGGUGGAUAGGAGGUGUAGAUUAGAGAGGUAGAGGUGCACAGUAACUCACAUGCUGUUGGAUCAGUCUGGAAACAGCUGGGGGGUUCUGGUGACUCUACUAUAGACA